rnacentral:rRNA from 1 species
CCUACGGGGGGCUGCAGUGAGGAAUAUUGGUCAAUGGACGAGAGUCUGAACCAGCCAAGUAGCGUGAAGGAUGACUGCCCUAUGGGUUGUAAACUUCUUUUAUAUGGGAAUAAAACGUUCCACGUGUGGGAUUUUGUAUGUACCAUAUGAAUAAGGAUCGGCUAACUCCGUGCCAGCAGCCGCGGGAAUACGGAGGAUCCGAGCGUUAUCCGGAUUUAUUGGGUUUAAAGGGAGCGUAGGUGGAUUGUUAAGUCAGUUGUGAAAGUUUGCGGCUCAACCGUAAAAUUGCAGUUGAAACUGGCAGUCUUGAGUACAGUAGAGGUAGGCGGAAUUCGUGGUGUAGCGGUGAAAUGCUUAGAUAUCACGAAGAACUCCGAUUGCGAAGGCAGUUCACUGGACUGCAACUGACACUGAGGCUCGAAAGUGUGGGUAUCAAACAGGAUUAGAUACCCUUGUAGUC